AUUGAACACUGGCGGCAGGCCUAACACAUGCAAGUCGAACGAGUGGCGGACGGGUGAGUAAUGUCUGGGAAACUGCCCGAUGGAGGGGGAUAACUACUGGAAACGGUAGCUAAUACCGCAUACCAUCGGAUGUGCCCAGAUGGGAUUAGCUCGUAGGUGGGGUAACGGCUCACCUAGGCGACGAUCCCUAGCUGGUCUGAGAGGAUGACCAGCAACACUGGAACGGAGACACGGUCCAGAAGCCGACGGGAGGCAGCAGUGGGGAAUAUUGCACAAUGGGCGCAAGCCUGAUGCAGCCAUGCCGCGUGGAUGAAGAAGGCCUUCGGGUUGUAAAGUACUUUCAGCGAGGAGGCGUUACUCGCAGAAGAAGCACCGGCUAACUCCGUGCCAGCAGCCGCGGUAAUAC
rnacentral:rRNA from 1 species